ensembl:lncRNA
CUCUUCCACCCUCUCUCUCCUUCCCAUGCUCUCACUCUGACAUAUCAAAUAGGCUACACGCAAUUACGCCAUCUAUCAAACCUCCCAGAUGUUCUAAUCAACAGCGCCACACGGAACGCGCACAAGGCACCCAAAUGCACGCUUCCUGUCCAGGUCUGCCCUUUGUGCUGAGAGCACCGGGUUCUUUCUCUGUUUGGACUCCCUAACAUUGUGCCAAAGACACACCGGACGAGAACUACAGCAUAUUCAGUCUCUAUUGUCCUCAGACUCCGACAUGUAUUUGAUGUAUUAUGAUACGCCAUCUCUUAGCUAGUUUUUGUUCCACAACCCAGAGAGAUAGGCGUAGCCCAUAGAAUGAAAACAUAACCGUACACUGACGGGGUGGUUUGACCGUCAGUGCUGGUGCUCUUCGCAGCGUACAGGUGUGCUGUUCCGGUGUUUCACCUGCAGGUUGCAGCAUUGUUCCUGGAAACGGUCUCAAACCUGUCACCUGGACCAUGCAGACUGCGUUUUUCUGGUUGCGUUUACACAGCCAGCCCAAUUAUACCUUUUUAAUAAUCAGAGCAGCGCGGAAAAAUAUCUGAUGCGAAAAGAUCUGGUAUGAUUGGUCAAAAGACCAGUUAGUGGGUAAAAUAUCCGAAUUGGGCUGCCUGUGUAAACGCAUCUUCUGAGGCAUCAGGAUCGUACAAGUGUCACCUGUAACGUGAUUUUUGUUAGCCUACCAUAGGCCUAUGCAUCAAUGUGCAUGAUUGAGGAGGACGGACAGGUAGCCUAAUAUCUUAUGACGUCAAAAUAUGUGUCCACUUGCAUUGCAGGCCUAUUUGUAGAAACAUGUAAGGCCUAAAUAAGAAUGUUCUCCAUUAUUUUAGAUUUCCUUUGCAUUGAUUGCCUUUGCCUUCAACGCUGAAGAAGGGUUCAUACCCGAAACUCAUCCCAAUACAAAUAUGUCAAUUUAACUUAGUUUUUUUUUUUACCGGAGUGCUCUCCUAUUUCUGUUUCAUUUAUCAUUGGCCCACAAUACAAUAAUUUACUUAUCUUUCUCCAUUUAUAGCCUACUCCUUUGCAAUGUUUGUCUAGAUACAGCACUUCGUAGCGAUAGUCUACCACUUUUUUAAAAUAACGUUAGUAGUAAACAUUGUUAGGGGAACGCGAAGUUUAAACAUGACUUCGAGGUUUUGCUUCAGGACGGUGGGGAGCUCGAGACAUAGCCCAUGGACUGCACGGACCUAUGGAUACCCCCUAAGCUAAUAUCACAAGUGUAUUGUGAUAAUUAAUUCAUGCACUUGAAGUAGCCUACAUUGCUUAUCAAUAUUUUACAGAUUACAUAACUAACUUGUAAUUUAUUAUGAAACAUUGAAACAAAAACGGUUUUGGUCUGUAUAUCGUUAAGAAUAUGCAGGUCGGUGUCUUGGUUGUUGUUGUAAUUCAUCCCACAUUUUUUUUUUUAUAUUCAAAAGAUAUUGUAAGUCUAAUUCAGCAAAUCAGGAAAUUGAUGCAACGUGUGUCAUGUUUAAAAAUCAAAUAAAA